UGGGGAAUAUUGCACAAUGGGCGCAAGCCUGAUGCAGCGACGCCGCGUGAGGGAUGGCGGCCUUCGGGUUGUAAACCUCUUUCGCCAGGGACGAAGCGCAAGUGACGGUACCUGGCUAAGAAGCACCGGCUAACUACGUGCCAGCAGCCGCGGUAAUACGUAGGGCGCGAGCGUUGUCCGGAAUUAUUGGGCGUAAAGAGCUCGUAGGCGGUCUGUCGCGUCGGAUGUGAAAGCCCGGGGCUUAACCCCGGGUCUGCAUUCGAUACGGGCAGACUAGAGUGUGGUAGGGGAGAUCGGAAUUCCUGGUGUAGCGGUGAAAUGCGCAGAUAUCAGGAGGAACACCGGUGGCGAAGGCGGAUCUCUGGGCCAUUACUGACGCUGAGGAGCGAAAGCGUGGGGAGCGAA
rnacentral:rRNA from 1 species